CCUAUGGGUGACAGCAGUGAGGAAUAUUGGUCAAUGGCCGGAAGUCUGAACCAGCCAAGCCGCGUGAAGGACGAAGGUGCCAAGCAUUGUAAACUUCUUUUGUCAAGGGACAAAAUCAGGCUCGAGAGCCUGACCGAGGGUACUUUAAGAAAAAGCAUCGGCUAACUCCGUGCCAGCAGCCGCGGUAAUACGGAGGAUGCGAGCGUUAUCCGGAUUUAUUGGGUUUAAAGGGGGCGUAGGCGGGCUGUUAAGUCAGCGGUAAAAGCCCGGGGCUCAACCCCGGCGAGCCGUUGAAACUGGCAGUCUUGAGAGGGCGAGAGGUAGGCGGAAUGCGCAGUGUAGCGGUGAAAUGCUUAGAUAUUGCGCAGAACUCCGAUUGCGAAGGCAGCAUAUCGGAGGCGAUCUGACGCUGAGGCACGAAAGCGUGGGUAUCGAACAGGAUUAGAUACCCGAGUAGUC
rnacentral:rRNA from 1 species